rnacentral:rRNA from 1 species
AGAGUUUGAUCAUGGCUCAGGAUGAACGCUAGCGGCAGGCUUAACACAUGCAAGUCGAGGGGCAGCACGGUAGCAAUACUGGUGGCGACCGGCAAACGGGUGCGGAACACGUACGCAAUCUACCCUUGCCUGGGGCAUAGCCCGGAGAAAUCCGGAUUAACUCCCCAUAAUAUAUUUGAGAGGCAUCUUUUGGAUAUUAA